UUACAGUAUUCUUUUUGCCAGCGCUUAAUUGCGCGGCGAAAAAACCUUACACACAGUGUUUUUUGUUAUUACAAGAACUCUUGCUUUGGUCUGGACUAGAAAUAGUUUGGGCCAGAGGUUUACUAAACUAAACUUCAAUAUUUAUAUUGAAUUGUUAUUUAUUUUAAUUGUCAAUUUGUUGAUUAAAUUCAAAAAAUCUUCAAAACUUUCAACAACGGAUCUCUUGGUUCUCGCAUCGAUGAAGAACGCAGCGAAAUGCGAUAAGUAAUAUGAAUUGCAGAUUUUCGUGAAUCAUCGAAUCUUUGAACGCACAUUGCGCCCUUUGGUAUUCCAAAGGGCAUGCCUGUUUGAGCGUCAUUUCUCUCUCAAACCUUCGGGUUUGGUAUUGAGUGAUACUCUUAGUCGAACUAGGCGUUUGCUUGAAAUGUAUUGGCAUGAGUGGUACUGGAUAGUGCUAUAUGACUUUCAAUGUAUUAGGUUUAUCCAACUCGUUGAAUAGUUUAAUGGUAUAUUUCUCGGUAUUCUAGGCUCGGCCUUACAAUAUAACAAACAAGUUUGACCUCAAAUCAGGUAGGACUACCCGCUGAACUUAAGCAUAUCAAUAAGCG
rnacentral:rRNA from 1 species